GCCAUAUUCUUGGAGAACCCUUAGAAAAUACAGAGCAGCGGCGCUCUCAUUCUUCUGAACAGAGAGGAGCGAAAAUCUGCUCCAAAAAUCAAGCUUCUAUUCCCUCUUCUUCUCUACUCCUUCACUCACACUCACAUGACCUCCCAAUAAAAAAGAGCUUGAAAUCCGAAAAAUCUGAGAUUCGGAAACCAAAUGGGAAGAAGUCUGAAACGGAGAAGGAAAAACAGUAGAUUUCUGGGUGGAUUUUAAAUCCAAAAUAAUUUGAGAGUUGUCGCUGCUUCGAAGCCAUAAUUUCAUUUGUGUUUCUGGAUUUUUAAAGUGGAUUCAAUGGUGAUUUACUGUUUGUUAGUCGUUGUUUUUUCAAUCGGAAAGCUGUGUUGAUUUCCGCUGCAUUAUCCUCUCAAUUUCUGGUUUGUUCGAGUUGUAUGUCGGACCCGAGGUGUGAAGCUAUGUGCUGUUGGUUCUGCUUAUGCUGGGCUCCAAGCUAUUGAUUCCGAACAUGUAUUAGACCUCCUUGUCUUCCAAAUAUGGUUUCAGCUAAUAGAUCCGGAGCCUCUUCGUAGAGAUCCUCAGACAUCAGCAAGAACUGCUCAUAUUGCUCAAAGUAUAGGUAUAAAGUUGUCUUCACUGGACUUCGGCUCGUGAACUAAAGACACAGGAAGAACUGGGUAAUCUCAACGCAAAACAUGAGGAAUGAAUCAUGGGAUUUUACUGAAUUUUUCUGUCUCCAAUAUAUGCACUAGCUGGUGUUACAGUCCCUAUAUCCUUAAGUGGGAACCAACCUCACUUUCAAGUGCCGUGGAGAUAUAAUUAUCGUCUUCACCGGUUUUGAACAUAAUGUAAAGUCUUGAUGGUUUGUUAACGUUGCUCCAAAACGCACACGCAAGUAUACAUGGCCGUUCAAGUAAUAAAAUGAUAAGUCGAGUGUCGAACUGACAGAGACUUGUAUUAACUA